rnacentral:rRNA from 1 species
UAGCUACAGGCUUAACACAUGCAAGUCGAGGGGAAACGACAUCGAAAGCUUGCUUUUGAUGGGCGUCGACCGGCGCACGGGUGAGUAACGCGUAUCCAACCUGCCCACCACUUGGGGAUAACCUUGCGAAAGUAAGACUAAUACCCAAUGACGUCUCUAGAAGACAUCUGAAAGAGAUUAAAGAUUUAUCGGUGAUGGAUGGGGAUGCGUCUGAUUAGCUUGUUGGCGGGGUAACGGCCCACCAAGGCGACGAUCAGUAGGGGUUCUGAGAGGAAGGUCCCCCACAUUGGAACUGAGACACGGUCCAAACUCCUACGGGAGGCAGCAGUGAGGAAUAUUGGUCAAUGGACGAGAGUCUGAACCAGCCAAGUAGCGCGCAGGAUGACGGCCCUAUGGGUUGUAAACUGCUUUUAUAAGGGAAUAAAGUGAGUCUCGUGAGACUUUUUGCAUGUACCUUAUGAAUAAGGACCGGCUAUUUCCGCGCCAGCCAGCCGCGGUAAUACAGAAGGUCCGGGCGGUUAUCCGGAUUUAUUGGGUUUAAAGGGAGCGUAGGGCCGGAAAUUAAACGUGUUUGUGAAAUGUAGACCCUCAACGUCUGCACUGGCACCGCGAAAUGGUUUCCCUUGAGUACGCACAAGGUGGGCGGAAAUUUGUGGUGUAGCGGUGAAAUGCUUAGAUAUCACGAAGAACUCCGAUUGCGAAGGCAGCUCACUGGAGCGCAACUGGCGCUGAAGCUCGAAAGUGCGGGUAUCGAACAGGAUUAGAUACCCUGGUAGUCCGCACGGUAAACGAUGGAUGCCCGCUGUUGGGUCUGAAUAGGUCAGCGGCCAAGCGAAAGCAUUAAGCAUCCCACCUGGGGAGUACGCCGGCAACGGUGAAACUCAAAGGAAUUGACGGGGGCCCGCACAAGCGGAGGAACAUGUGGUUUAAUUCGAUGAUACGCGAGGAACCUUACCCGGGCUUGAAUUGCAGAGGAAGGAUUUGGAGACAAUGACGCCCUUCGGGGCCUCUGUGAAGGUGCUGCAUGGUUGUCGUCAGCUCGUGCCGUGAGGUGUCGGCUUAAGUGCCAUAACGAGCGCAACCCCUCUCCUUAGUUGCCAUCAGGUCAAGCUGGGCACUCUGGGGACACUGCCACCGUAAGGUGUGAGGAAGGUGGGGA